rnacentral:lncRNA from 1 species
AAGAAGCUUCUUCACUCCUGCACAGCAUGGCGGUGGAGGACUGGCAUUAUUAGGAGCUUGAAGAUAAGUAAGGCAUGGAGCCAAAUCACCGGAUACAGUUCCACAUGACAAAGCAGCUUCUGCCAUAAGCUUGAAGAUAAGUAAGGCAUGGAGCCAAAUCACCGGAUACAGUUCCACAUGACAAAGCAGCUUCUGCCAUAGGCGCAAUAACUACCAUGCACAUCACCAAAGCAACACAUGCUAAUUUCAUGCUUGUUGCCAUUUUUGUUUUCUUUGUUUUCUAUUCUUUUUCUUAGUUUGUUUGAAUGGUGUGUAAUGUCUUUGUGGGAGGGGGUUUAUAUAGAAAAUAAGAUAAGGUUUGAAGAUGAGUAGAUUGAUGAAUUUUUUGUGAAUGUGCAUAAAAAUUAGGUGGUAGUUGUGGUUUGAAUUAAUGACGUAUGGUCCAUUAUCUAUAAUUAUUGAGCAUUUGUCUCACUAUCUUUAAUUUAUUAUUUAAUGAUAUGGUACACAGUUAGAUUGGACGAUAAUUACUGUAGUUUCCGAAUUCAAUUUUCCACCCUCCUUCUUUCUCUUCUCUAUUUUAUCGGUGCUUUCUGCGCUUUGUAUGAUUUUUAACUUUCUUAUAUAGGAUUAUCUUAUUAAUACUACUAUUUUAAAAUUUAGUAUAUUUUUUUAAAAGCAAAUAUUAAAAGAGGGUGGGAUAUAUAGAAUGAAACUUGUUUCGCCAUAGUUUUGAAUGGUUUUAGUGUUAUGAUUCGAGAUUUUGAUCUUAGGGGUUUUAUUAGAAAGGACAUCGUCCCUCCUAAAGUACGUGUUUUGUCUAAUGCCUCUUUAGAAAAAAUGUUCAGAACAUGUAUGUGAAAUUUUACAUGACCAUAGGAUAGAAAGCAAUUUUGGAUUGUUUGAAAGCAGCACAUGUUCAAAAUUUCCUCCUUGCUAUUAUUAUUAAUGGUCAUGCCAACAUAUGACCCUGAUAGAAUAUCAUACAAUUCUUAAAUAUCGAUUUAUGAUUCCCUUAUUUCUUGUCGACAAAGUUUUCUCUGUUUUUCGUAAGGUGUGCUUGGAUAUAUUUGGGGUGUCAUUUGACAUACUUUGGCGUGCCACGGUACCUGUGAAGAAAGAGUCACAUGUGAAUUUUUGUACUGACCACGUGAGGGAUGAUCGACACUUAGGCCAACAAAUGUUUUAGUGUACGAGUGGAUAGGAGAGAAACAUGCAUAUGUAGACUUGAUUUCAGUUUUGACAAACAUUUUAAAAAUAAAUCGAACACGCUAGGUUAAAUUACACGAAACGUAGAUUAAUAAAAUUGAUGUUUGCAAGCUUGAUUUUGAAAAUUUUCGUCAACUAUUUUGACACACAUUUUACAAUUGAUUCAACCGAUUUUCCUGUAGAUACAAAAAUUUAUUUCGACUGACAUUCUAGACAUUAUGCGGUAUGAAAUACAUGUUAUGUUAUGCAGAGAUGCAACAAUUAUGAUGAAUGCAUUGAAUCGUUGAUUCACGGUCAAAAUCGGGAUGUGACAAGUUCUACCAGGGUUUCAUCAAGGGUUCCAUCUAAGGUUUUUAUCAAGGGUUCCACUAGGGUUUCAUCAAGGGCUCCAUCAAGGGUUCCAUCUAAGGUUUUUAUCGAGGGUUCCACCAAGGUUUCAUCAAGGCUCCAUCAAUGGUUUCAUCAAGGUUUUGUCAGGAGUUUUUAUCUAGGGUUCCACCAAGGUUUCAUUAAGGGCUCCAUCAAGGGUUUUAUCAAGAGUUUUUAUCAAGGGUUCCACCAGGAUUUCAUCAAGGGUUUCAUCACGGGUUUUAUCAAAGGUUCCACCAGGGUUUCAUCUAAAGGUUUCACCAAGGGUUUCAUCAAAGUUUGAUCAAAGGGUUUCAUCAGGGUUCCACAAAGGGUUUCAUCGGGGUCCCACCAGGGGUUAUGUUAGAAGUUUCGUUAGCAGCGAUCGGAGGAUCACUACAAUCCUACUUGAAUUUCGUAAAAAAUGAUCAGAGGAUCAUCGGAAUCAUACACAGGUUUCACCAAGAGGGGUUGAAACCUACCAAAGAUUCUGGUUCCAUCAUAGUGUUGCAUGGAUUCCCCCAAGGAAGUGGUUCAAAUAUUUGAGUUCCAUUAAGGAUAUUAUUCGGGAUCCAUUAGAUUGGUUAUGUGAGUUUCACAAGGGUUCCACCAAAAGUUGGUUUAGAUACCAACGAAGUACAAAAGGCAUCAAGUCUUUAUACAUCCCCAAAAAAUCUACUAACUCCAUGGACAAAAUUAGGGUCCCUCUCUAUAUUUAAUCGUCUUCCGUCAUGAGAGGAUGAAGACUCGCCAUCACCAUCAUCUCAAUUUAAAUUUGAUUAAAUAGGGACAGUUGUCUUACCCCAAAAUUUGUCUGCCCUUCAUAUGUUUUCUAACGCCACUUUAUUUCGAAUAAAUGAAAUGACACUGUUUUUUUACUGAGUCCCAACUUUAUUUUUAAAAAAGUUUGUUUUUUUAUUUUUAUUUUUUUAAAACCACUGAUGGAUUUUCUUUUCUAUUUCAUUAGUGCCUUUUAAUUUGAAAUUUAAAUUUUAUUUAUUUGAAUAUUAUAAUAUAUAUAUAUAUAUAUAUAUAUAUAUAUAUAUAUAUAUAUAUAUAUAUAUAUAUAUAUAUAUAUUAAUUAUAUAUAUAUAUAUAUUAGUAUAUAUAAAUCUUUUACUAAUAAUUUACAAAUUUUUGUAAAUAAUAUCCACUACUAUUUCGAUCACAGAACAUACUAGUAAUAUAUUGACAUGUGAUACUUCCCUAAUUAUUCUGCAUCUUGUAUGAUUUUCAAUAAAAAUAUACAAAGUGUUGUACCAUAGAAUAAAUCAAAAAACUUAAUAUAUGAAACUAUUAAUAUGAUAUUUAAUUAAGUUUUUAGGCAACACAUAAUUGCAUCAAUUAACUCUGGUUGAUAAAUUAUGACUAUUUAUUUACGUUUUAUAAAUUAUAUUAUAUAUCACAUAUAUUUGAAAAUAAUUCAUAUUUUACAUAAAAAAGAAAUCAAUUUAUUUUAAGUAAUUGUAUAUAUAAGUAUUUUAUCAAUUCAACUCUUAAAUUAAAAUUUUAAAUUGAUAACUUUUAUAAUUUCUUAUAAAAAUUCAAUGAAUAUUGAUUACACGUGCAUUUAAUCUUGUUUUCCAAUUUAGACAUUCUUGAAAAUAUUUUAGAAGUAAUAAUAUAAUAAUAAAAAAUCAUGCAAUACAUCUAUAAUUUUUUUUACAAUGUAUAACUUAAUUUUUUUUAACAAACAAUACAUAUAACAUAAACUUAUACUAGUAUUUAUUAUUACAUAGAUUAAAUGGCCCCACAUCCUUAAUUUUCUGGAUCUACCCCUAGAUCCUACAAACAAAAACCAUCCCACGUUACACUACACAACCAUUGCAUGUGAAAAAUAGUAAUGUAUGUUGGUACAAAGCAGAGAGAAAGAAUGGUAAAAGAUCUAGUCUCAUCUCAUUUUUAGUUAACAAUUAAUUUCUUUUUAUUUGAUUUAACUAUCAUUUAACUAUCAUUAUUUUUAUUUUUAUUUGACAUUUGAAGCAUAGGCUCAAACCUAAUAGUAUCAAUCUCUUCAUAUAUCAAAACUUUUUUAAUUCAUGAAUUGAAUAGUUCUUUUUUCUUUUCAACAAAUAUUUAAACUUCUUGGUGCUUUUGUUACGGAUUUGAUAAAGUGAUUUGGUCUUCAACGCCAUUGACUCAACGUCGCAGUCACUCUGUCGACACUUCCUCUCAAACUAGAAGGUUUUAGGUUUAUUUUUUUUCCUUUUAUCAUAUAAAUGUGUGAGUCUGUCUUUGGCCCAUGUGUAUGUCCAUUUAAUUGAUUUUGUUCUACAUGUUAAUUAAUUACAUUUACACGGUAUAUUAUAACUCUUAGAUUAAUUUUUGUGUCAUUCAGCAGAAAAGUAUAUUAAUGUAAUUUUGUUUGAUACUUGAAAAGAUUAAAAAAGAUAAUAUUAUAAAAACACCCAAAAUAUUAAUUUAGUUAAUUCUCUUUUAUUAACUCUUUUUUCAUUUUAUUAAUUUCGACCACUAAGAUUAUUAACAUAUAAAAGUAAUAAACUCAUAUCUUAUUUUACUUUACGUUAAAAACAAAAUAAAAGUCAAAAAUAUUUCUUUACAUAUUUAAAAUAUUUCUUCUCAUUUUUAAUUCUAAAAAUUUAAAAAGACAAAAAAAUAUAUUAUAUAUUUUAUAUCUUUGUUUUUUGUUUAAAAAUUAAUCUAUUAGGUCUAACUUAAUCUAGUUUAUUUUCUUCUAAAUUCAUUUUAAAAUAAAUUUAUUUCUUUAUAAUAAGAAUAGUAAAAAAAACAAUAAUAAUAAUAAUAAUAAUAAUAAUAAUAAUAAUAAUAAUAAUAAUAAUAAUAAUAAUAAUAAUAAUAAUAAUAAUAAUAAUAAUUAUCUAUGUAAAUAUGAAUUUAUUUUCUAAAUCAAAUUAAAACUAUAUUUUGCAAACUAACUUGAUUGUUUGGCGUCACACCUUAUCGAUAAAUAAUUCAACUAAAAACUUAAAAUCAAUUCAAACACAAUCAAAUGUUAUUUUCUCUGUCCUUGUGCAUUGAUAUUCGCUUUUUUAAACAAAAAUUUCUCCGCCCUGGUGCUUGAGAUAUUUUCACAACUAAAAUCAACAAACAUACAAUAUUUUCUAGACGGAUUUCAGUACUUUGAUCAUUCAUAUUGCUUGAGGGUACGUAGGCAUAGAGUUGUAACACUCUGGUGAAUACAAUAACAAAAACCUUUUCUCUGUCAUCUUUCCUGAUUAAAUUUUUCUUUUAUUAAAAUGAUAACCUAAUUCCCUGUAAAUAGGUAUAUUAAGCAAAAAUAGAUAACAUAAGAAAACACCCCAUAGAUAACACCUCCCCCUCACUAAAUCGACUCCCGAACCCUAAUGCACUAUCCUUACCUUUUAGGGUUUUCUCAUUAUUUCCCAUGUUCAUUAGGAACAAAUAAAAUAUGGUGGCAACUCGGUAAUUUUCCAGCCGCGACAACAAUAUUCCAUCUUAAAUAUCUUGAGUAUCUCACUUGUAUAUCUUCUUUGAUGCAUCACCAAAUCUCUACUACUCUUGUAGAAUUUGAUGCCAAGAAAGUAUGAAAUGUCUCCCAAAUCAAACAUUUCGAAUUCCUUGCUAAGGUCACCUUUGAAGUCUUCGAUCUCUUUCUUACAAUUACCAGUUCUUAAUAAGUCAUCGACAUAGAGAUAUAGUAUAAGCAAUUCACUCUUGCUUCUUCUUACAUGUAAUCCAUGUUUAGUUGUGCACUUCACAAAUUCGUCCUCCCUUAGAAAGCUAUAUAUCUUCUUAUUCCAAGCUCUUGGAGCUUGCUUAAGUCCAUACAGGGCUUUGUACAACCUGUAUACCUUGCUUUCUUCGACUUGUUUCACAAACCCAACUGGUUGUGCAACAUAAACUUCUUCAUCUAAGAGGGUCAUUUAAGAAUGCACAUUCACAUCCAUAUGACACAUAUGCCAGUUGUUCGUGUUUGCUAGACUAACAACCAACCUGAUUAUUUUGAUCCUAGUAACAGGUGCAAAAACUUUGUCGAUUCCUUCUUUUUGAAGAAAUCCUUUCGCCACAAGUAUUUCCUUGUGUCGAGUUACUUCUCCUUUAGGAUUCAACUUCACCUUGUAUACCCACUUCUCAUUGAUUGCCUUCUUGUCUUUAGGCAAUUCGACAAGUGACCAAGUGUUGUUGACUUCAGUGGACUUCAGUUCCUCAUUCAUUUCUUUCAUCCACUUCGAAUCCUUCAAUACCUCGACUGCAUUGACUAGUUCAUCAUAUGCAUAGAAAGCAUAGUGUACCAGCUCACCUUUAUCAUCAACCACAUCAUCUAAUGUAAUCACACAUUCUUUCAACCUUACAGGCAUAUGUCUUGUUCUUUGAGGUCUGUUUGUGCUUGUUUGACCUCUGACUUCUUCUUGUCGAACUUCUCUUUCGAAUUCACUUGUUGGGUAUUCACAUAGGAUUCAUACUGAAUCCUUCUUGACAUUUUCAGUCCAAUCACAUUCCUUAAGCUCAUCUAUGAUCACAUCCUUGUUGAUCAAUAAUUGCUUGUUCAUCAAUAUUGUUUCAGAAUUCUCCAUAGGUUUGGUGUAUUUCCACAUUCAGGAAUUUCGUCUUAAUCCCAACAUCUGGUAUCUAAGCACUAGCUGUGUGAUUCUUGGGAAGCAUAAUGCUCUGAUUGAUUACACCUUUUGUUCUCCACUCUUCACUUGAGUGAAUCAACCAACCUUGAUUUCAAGAUGAUUUUGUUGCACGAUGACUAUUGAAGAAGAAAAAAAAGAUGAAUUGAGGAAGAAAGGAGAAUUUAGGGUUUGAGAGAAAAGGGGAAGAAGAAGAAGAAUUCUGCAGAGUUUUUCUUUCUGCUUUCAAACUGAAAUUUUAUUCAACUUUUUUCUAUGCAACUGCAUUACAAACAACGAUAAGUACCUCCUUAUUUAUAGGUUGAUAUUGCUUCCACACCAACCAAUCACCAACUAACCUAACUAACUAAACUAAAACAAACAAAUAAAAUUAAGUCAAAAUUAUGUCGAGAUACACUUUAAUAUUUCGACAACUCCUUUCGAACAACAUGCUUCAAUAUAAGAAAUUACAUUUUCAAAUAUAUAUAUAUAUAUAUAUAUAUUAUAUAUAUAUAUUAUAGAUUUUUUUUUUUUUUUUUAAAAUGAAAGUUAUUGUCGACCAAGACUUUCCUCAUUUUAAAGGCAUUUAUUAUUAAUCAAGUGAGUGCCUCUAUCAAAUUUUCAUUUAUAUAUAAAUUUUUGCUUUUAAUCAAUAUCCAUUAAAUAAAUGGUUGUUAUCCUUUAAACAUGACACGAUAUAUACUCUCAAGAGAGGUAAACACCACUUAACUUUUUUCAUUAAUGAACCAUGGAUAAAAUUAAUACGACCUUUAGUAUUUUAAAUUGACAUUAUCAAAACAAUAAAAUGACGAGAAAAUUAGAAAGAAAAAACAAAUUGAUCUUUAGAAUUGACUUAUCUAACACUGCAUCGAUGAUAAUAAAAACAGGCAGCAUUAUGUCGACAGGGACGGUUGCCGACCAUACUGUGUGUCAGCAAAGUUGAUAAAUUUCACCAUAGGUGUUCCUUAAUCACGGCACCGAAUUCAUACCCCACGAUGUUGUGGUACCCAUUGAAAUUCAAACUGUUGCUAUUUUGCAGACUGCAAUACAUUUUUUGUUUGGCAAUAAAGUUAGUCAGCCAUGGAUCCAUAAAUAAUUGAUUGGAGCUUAGUUAACUGUUUAAAUAUUCAUACAAAAAAUAUUUUUAUUUAAAAAAAUUUAAAAAUAACAAAAAUUGAACACACUUGCUUCUAAGUUUAAUCUCUCUAAUUUAUUCACUUGAGAAUAGAUUAGACUAGAGAAUCAAAUUUAGAAUAUUUUGUAAUCAAUUGUGUAAAUGUUCAUGUUGUUAUAAAUAUAAUAAAUACAAUGAGGAAAGGCAUCCCGCCAGAAUUUGUGACAUCCAUGUCACCUUUAUCAAAGAGGAAAUGAGACACCAUAAAAUCUUUAUGAUAACUCUCAAAGGAUCCGUCAUGGAAUAAAUCAUUAGAAUACAACACCAUAAAAUCUUGGAGGAAAUUAUGUGAAGAUUUCAUAAUACAAUUCAUAACACAUUGGAGAAAGUUGAAGAGAGUAGUGUUCCUUAGUGGGAUCCAUUAGAAGAAGAAUGAUACCUCAAAUACAUGUAAUAAUUGUGAGGUCAUAGUAAUUUCACGUGUAAAAGCAUGUAUAAUUGUAAGGAUAGGGUGAUUUCAAUGUGAAAUAUGAUUUUCCACAAUAUCUUGAAUUCCAUUAUAACUCACUCUAAUUCAUGCAAUAUUAGUCAUAAAAAUGGUUUAAAUGCUUUAUAAGUAUCUUGGAAAAAGUAGUAUCAUAGGGUGUCACCAGACACAGACACUUAUUUUAAUGUUUCGUCUAUUUCUUAUCUUCAAUUUCAAGCAUUUUAGUAAGUUUAGAAGGACCAUUUAUUUAGCGUUAAAUGUGAACAAAGGAUCCACUGUCAUUAAGUGGGUUCCCGAUUUAUAUGAAGGGAUAUGUAAGUCAUGGUAACUCGAGAACCACUUAUGAAACUAAUCUAUAUCCAAACUUAUCAAAAUAGAAAAAUCUUGAUCACCACAACUUAAUCAUAACAUCUUGAUCUUCAAGUACCAACAUUUGGUAAACAAGUUUUGAUCUUCAAGCACCAUCACUUGAUCCACAAUAUGUCAGUUACCACCACUUGAUCAACAACUAUCAAGAAUCAUCACUUGAUCAACCACAUAUCAAUCACAAGAUCCACAUAUAAAGCACCAUCAAUUGAACAAUAAGAUGUCAAGCAUCAUCAUUUGAUCAACAUAUCAAGUGUCAUCACUUGAUUAAUCUUCAAGCACAAUCACAUGAACCAACUUAGACUUGAACAAGACUGAUGAAGAAUUCUCUUAAGAGUCUUGUCAACAUCAAAACCAAAAUAAUACAUUGUUAGAGUCUUCAUACCUGUAAACACAUAGAUCCACAUUAUCCUUUUUUUUUGAUGAAAAAUAAUCUCUUAAGGAGUUGGAAUAACAAAGAAAAAAUGUUAUAAAACUUGGAGUGAUUAAACUCCCCCUACAAACAUAGAGAGUAUACCCUACUUCCCCUGAGAGUAUACUUUUGCCCCCUUGGCGUUAUCAAAAAUUUGGGGAAAAUUAAGCAGAUAGACUUGUAUAUGAAUUAUUCAAGCACAUAUAUCAUAAGAGAUGUGCAUAGACAUUUAAUGGAAAACAUACUUCAUCAAUUGAAAUGACGGAAUUCAAAUACAGAAAGGGAAAUAACAAGGAAUUUAAAAGACUAUGAAAAGAAGGAAAAACAUAGGUGAGAUAACUAUUUGUUGUCAUUAAUAUCAUCAUCUAUGAUUAUGUAUUUUUUGUUGUUGAGUUCCUCUUGAUGAUAACCAUGUCCUUUAUUAAUUUUUGAAUAGCCAUAGUGUUUUUCUGAGAUAUUUUCAGAAGGUGUUAAUGAUUGAAUCAUUUGUUGUAUCUAGAUGGAUACUUCAUUUAUGGAUUUGUUCCAUAAUUCUCCUUGAAAGAUAUGAACCCUCAUACUACUGAGGGAUGAGUAGUUAAUACUAUAGUGAUUGAAUCCAUAAAUUCCCCUUGUGUUGACUCUUAGAGUAUCUAUAAUAUUGGUGAUCAAGGCUCUAUAUCGUGACCCUGUUGAUCGAGACUGCUUGUAGGAGGUCAUAUGGAGAAGCAUCUCGUUGAUCCAAUUUGUUUGAAACUGUUGGGUAAGCAGCCACAAAGGGACCAUAUAUUCUCGAAUGAUGACUUCAAGAUUAUCUUGUAUAGGGAAGAGUAUAUGUGUGAUAAAAUAAUGUUGGGUGAGAAUAUGGAGCAUAGAAAUGGUGUAUAUGGGGGGAGGGGGUUGAAUACACCCUUUUGAAAAAUUUAACCAAUUUUUGAAAUGAAAAAUCAGAGUUUUUGAUGUGGAAGUCUUAUAACAAAAAAAGAUAGACUUUAUGCUUAAAUUGGAAAUUAACCACGUAUACAAUUACCUAAUUAACAAAUAUCUUUGAUUGAUUAGAGAUAAUAUCUAAAGAGUUACAUGCUACGAUGAAUUGUCACUUUGUUAAUUACACAAGAUAUGUUCUUUACAAUAUCCAAUUUCUAUGAAAGUUUAACACAACAGUUUGUAGAAUUUAAUCAGAACUAAAACACAAAUAGAUUUUGAUUCUAACAAAACCUAAAUUUAUAUAAUAAAUAACUACCAACAGGUAUUAACAAUAAAUUACACUAAGAAAGGUUAACCUAAACAUGCAAUAGCCUACGAAAAAUUAAAAUGAGAGAGAGAAAGAGAGUGUGAACACUAGGAUGUAUAGUGGUUCAGAUCUAUCUUCCUGCAUGAGCCUAAUCCACUCUCCAAUUGUUUCUCAUUAAAAAAAUUUCUUCAACUAUGUUUUGAAAAAAAUUACCUGAGUUCAUACAAUCAUUAAUCCAUAAUAAUGCUGAGAAAAUAAAUCUUUUAUCUGGAUCUUAACUUGUACACUGCCUUUAUACUGAACUCUUUGUGAAAUCUUUACUCGGUUAUUGCUUCUUUAAUCUUCCAGAUUCACCAAUAUUCUCCAAGUCUCCGUGUAUGGUAAUCGCCCAUGAUCUCACUAAUUUCUUGAGCAAUGAAUUGUCUGAAGAUUGAGAAGAACCGCUACCUUGUAUGUAGGCUUCCUUAUAACUCUGCCAAGAGAUUUUGAGUUUUCAAAGAUAUGGAAGUUGUUGUUGUUAUGUUCUUGGUUAUUAUAAAUUGAGAUGACAAAAUAAUUUAUAUGUGCUAGAGAUUACGCACAAAAGUAUGUGAAAAAUGGUUCUUAGAUUCGAGUCAAGAACAUUUGUUGAUUUGAGUCAAGUGAGCAAGUAAAGUGGAACAAGAUUAACAUAACAAAAGUGACUUAUUUCCUGUGAUUCGAGUCAAAUUAUAUGUAUGAUUCUAGUUAUACAAGCUCAUAAUUUGAGUCAAGUAGAAACCCUGAUUCGAAUCAAUUUGAACUGAGCCGAAUAGUAAAAUGUGAAAAAACUAUGUGAUUCAAGUCAUUUGUAAAGUGUGAUUCAAAUCAAACUGGGAAGUGGCAAAUAGGAUUUGUAUGAUUCAAUCAUGUGCAACUUGUGAUUUGAGUCACAGUGUUGUAUAAUUUUGAAUCAAGUUAAAAUUGUGAUUUGAGUCACAGAUGCAAAAGUCUCCGGCUUCCAUUCCCUGCACAUAGACCUUAAUAUUUUCUUAGCACAAUCUCUGCCAAAAACGGACUUUCCUAAAUUGUUGAUUUUGUUGAUUAAGUGGAAGAACCUAGUCUUCAUGGAUUCCACGAAUUCUCCGGGAUCCACACGAAAUAGUUCGAACUCAUCUGUUACCAUGUUGAUCUUAGAAUCCUUGACGUCAUUUGUUCCAUUGUAAAGGGUUUGAAUAUCGUCCCACAUAGAUUUUGCGCUCUUAUGAUGUAAAAUAGAGUAUAAUACUUUCACACUUAAAAUUGAGAUAAGUAUGUUACUCGCUUUCAAAUCAUAUGAAGCCUUUUUGGUUUCAUCAUCUAUCUAAUCCUUUGGGUGUUUAACAUCUACCCGUAGAUUUUUAUAAAUUGAUAAUAAAUGUACAUACAUAUUUUCUUUCCAAUAAUGAUAAUUAUCGGCAUCUUCACCCAUAUUCCCAAAAUUUUGAGUCACUUAGACCUGAUCAAAAUACCAACUUUGAUACUAAUUAUUGGGUGAGAAUAUGGAGUAGAAAAUGGUAUAUAAUGGGUGAAUAGACCCUUUUGAAAAAUUUGACCGAUUUUCAAAAUGAAAAAUCGAAGUUUUUGAUGCGGAAGUCUUAUAGAAAAAAUAGAGACUUUAUGCUUGAAUUGGAAAUUAAUCACUAAUAUAAUUACACAAUUAAUAAAUAUCUCAGAUUGAUAAGAGAUAAUAUCCAAAGAGUUACCACCUGUGAUGUAUUGUCACUUUGUAAAUUACACGAGAUGUGUUCUUUACAAAAUACAAUUUCUAUGAGAUUCUAACACCACAGUUUGCAAAAUUUAAUUAGCACUAAAACACAAAUGAGUUCUGAUUCUAAAAAAAACUAAACUUGUGUAAUAAAUUGCUACCAACAGUAAUUAACAAUAAACUACACUAAGAAACGAUUACCUAAACAUGCUAUAUCCUACAAAAUUAAAAUAAGAGAGAGAGAGAGAGAGAGAGAGAGAGAGAGAGAGAGAGAGAAAGAGAGAGAGAGAGAGAGAGAGAGAGAGAGUACGCCCGAAUGUAUAAUGGUGCGGGUCUAUCGUCAUCAUAGAAGCCUAAUCCAUUCUCCAAUGGUUUCCCAUUGAAAGUUGUCAUUCCACUAUGUUUUGACAAAAAUUGCACGAGUUUAUACAAUCAUUAAUCCAGAAUAAUGAUGAGAAAACAAAUCUUCUAUCUGGAUCUUGACUUUUACAUAGCAUUUAGGAUGAACUUUCUGUGAAAUCUUUACUCGAUUCUCGCGUCUUGAAUCUUCCAACUUCACUAAUCUUCUCCAACUUUUCGCGUGUGGCAAUCACCUCUGAUCCCACCGAUUUCUUCACGAAGAUUGAGAAGAACGCAUACCUUGUCUGUAGGCUUCCAUACAACUCUACAAAGGUCAUCAUAGAGAGAAGAACCUUUUUUUUUCACCAGAUUUUGUCACCACAAGUCACAACAAUCCCAAUGAUAAAGUUUUUACUGGUUUGUCAACAAAUGUGAAAGAGGGGGAGGAUAAGUAUCUUUAUGGCCAGUAGUUGGUUUCUUAUAAUUAACAUCCCCUUGGACCUCUUUCUCCUUCAAAUAUUGACUUUAGAACCUUAUCAUGUGUAUGAAUCAAUAGUGAAUCAAGUUUUUAACGUAACCCCCAAAGGCGUAGUGGUUUUUUAGUGUUUCUUUCAUCCAUCAUUGGUGGAUUUGGUGUUUGAGUUCUAACUUGGUUCAUAUUUGUUGGUUACUUGUUGUAUUAGUAGCACUACUACAAAAUAGACGUUUGGUAACACCCAUUUUACAACGGUUUUCCUAUUAACCGUGGUAAUAAUUUUUUGGGGCGUUUUUUUUUUGUGUAUUUACUAAAAGAUAUUUCACAACGGUCAUUGAUACCAACUGUGGUUAAAAGUGGCGUCUGAUCAUGAGUUUGAAUCUCAGCACCUACAAUUUUGUUUUUAUUUAUUUUUAAGCCACUUUUCACCACCGUUGGAACUUUCAACUGUCGUGAAAAGUGGAUCCUGGUCAUGAGUUCGAAUCCUAGCACAUACAGUUUUAUUUUUAUUUAUUUAUUAAAAGACAUACAACAACGGUUGAUUAAAGUAACUGUUGUGAUAUGUUAAGACAUAUAACAAUGGUUGUUUAAAGUAAUUUUUCUGAUAGGUACAAUUUUUUUUUUAAUAUUUAUUAAAGUAAGCAUGUUUAUUGAGUUUCUUCGCCAUUCUUAAAUAAAUCUUUGUCGGCCAUUUAGUGAGUAUCAAUGCCCAAGACACUACCAUUGGUGAUCCGCAUGAAACCUAAAACUUAGAUGAACUUUCAACUUAGAAGAACUUCAUCUUCUACCUCCAAACAUCUUCUUCCAUUUAUGACUCUCUAUUUCUCCACUAAAUUAAACUCGAAGACAUUCUUUCUUCCAUAAGCAAAACUCAAAAACAUCAUUUCUUUCAUUAACAAAUUCCAGAACUCCAUCACCUCUUCUCCCACUUGAAUGAGACAAGGAAAACAUGGAUUCUAGUUAGCAAUGUUAGUGUUUUUGUUAUUUUGUUGUUGUUGUUGUUGUUGUUCUAUUGCUGCAUUUUUAUUUUAUUUUAUUAAAAGUCAUACAACAACGGUUGUUUAAAGUAACCAUUGUAAUAAAGUGAGACAUACAACAAAGGUUGUUUAAAGUAACCGUUGUGGUAAGUAGCGUGGUGAAAAAUGUCAUACAUACAAUCAUACCAUACCUCACAACGGUUGAUCCAAAGUGGUAGUAUCCAUUUUCCGACUGUUGUGAUAGAUAUUUUUCGUAGUAGUGUAACUAUUCGAUUUUCCUUUUCUUUCUGCUUAUUUUUGUUCUUGGUGAUUGAUUGUAUUAGCUCCAUCAUUUUAUCUUUUAGUUUUUUUUGUCUGUUUUUUUUUCUUUGGAGGUUUUUCUCUUCGUUAUUAAUAUAGUAAUUGAUAAAAAAAAUGUUAGUAAUAUUUUCCGUUACCACGUUUAAACAAUCCAACUUAUUAGUAAAACCCAUUUUGUUGUAGAUAAGUUUAUGCAACUUUAUCCAUAAUAAAUGUAAGUUAAAUAUGAACUUAAUUGUAUAAACUCAAAUCUCCUUAGACUUACGAAAUGACAUUAAUAUCAAACAAACUUGCUUUUAACUUUGUUUUUAAUUGUGAUACAUUGCAUUUUUUUAAGGGUAUUUUAGAUUUUUCUUUCACACUAUUAAAUUAAUAAAAUCACAACUUUUGUUGCAUUAAAUAUAUUUAAUAAUAUCGUUAUGAAAAAGACAUAUCAAAUUAACUUUUCUAGCCUCUUAUCUUGAUUUUUCAUUUGUGAUACAAUGAUUUUUUAAAGAUGUUUUACUAUUUUACAAUAUUAUAUUGAUAAUAUCAUAAGUUUUUUUUUGCAUUAAAUCAAUUUAAUAAUAGCAUUUAUAUAUUAAUUUAAUCAUUAAUUAUUAUAUAUGUUAUAAAAGAAAAAUUAUCUUUGAACCACAACUAAGAUUUAGAUUAAAUUAAUAUUUUAAUAACUAUUGUAUAAAAAACAAUAAUCAUAAUAUACUUUAAUUAUACUUUUAACGUUAAUAUGUAUACACGGGACAAAUGUUUGUUUGGCAUUGAUCAAUAAAUUAAAUUAAUAAAAUUAAAAAAUAAUUAUAACAUAAUUUACUAAAAUAAAUUGAUUCAACAGUCCUUGUCCUUAAAAUGUUGGAGUUUCAUAUCUUUUAAAAUUUUCAAACUUAAAAUUAUAAUAUAUAAAAUAUCAACGUGACAUUUAAAAUAAUUCAAAAUAAAAAUAAUAAAAUCAUAUCAGUAUUUUUGGAAUUAAAACAAAUAAAUAAUUGUUGAGUUAGCGAGCCACACAAAUCCUUUUGUCCAAUCAAAUUCCAAAAUAUUUAAAUGAUCUAAAUCUUUAUAUUGCAAGAUUGUUUUUGCAAAAAAUAGUUUUACAGGGGCAUAAAUUAAAAUUCGCCUAUGGCACGGGGAAAUGAUAUUAACCAUUUAUAAAAUUAUUCAUUAAAAUUAAUCUCUUUUAAAUAUUUUUAAAACAAAUGAGAAUAUUUAUAAUAUAAUAAUUAUAAUUUUUCAUACUUUUAACAUUUUUUAUUAUUUCAUUUAAAAAUUAAUAACUAAAAAUAUUCGUUGACACAUCCCGUUCAUACACGAUUUAGUCCAUAUUUGAUUUUGAUAAAAUUUUGAAUAAUUAAUUUUUCUUAAAAGUGAAUUGAAUGUUUUAUAUUUUGAUACAUAGUUGAAUUAUAAGAAUUAAAAAUCAUGUUAAGACUCGAAAUCUACCAAUGAUUGUGUCUUCGAAUUAUGAUAAAUUAUUCAGGGAAAAAUAAUUCUACCAGAAGGCAAAUAAACAUACUAAAAUUGAUUAUAAAAUGGUAAAUCAAACAAAGAAUUAUUAUUUUUAUAUCUUAAAGAGAAAAUUGAUUCUAAAAUACUAAUUUAAGUUUAUUAUGAAAAUUAUAUAAGAAAUAAAUAUUAUUGAUUGAAGAGUUAGUUAAAAUUAUAAUUAUUUUUAAUAUUAUUCAAUAAAAAAUAUGAACAAUUACAAUGCAAUUCCUACAAUUGUGUUGCAUAUUUUAAUUUUAUUCAAGUUGUUUAUCAAGAAACAAGACACUUAAAAAGGUAUUCUAGCAUACAAUUCUUACAAAAAUAAAUGUUUUUCCCUAAUAAAAUAAUUAAAUUUAAUAUUUUCAAUAGCUUGUAGAUAAAAAUAAGAUUAUUUAUAAUAAAAUAUUAAUUAAAGUGAAAUAUAAAUCAUUGAUUUUUAUUAUAAAAAAAAGGACAAAUAGUCGUAACAAAUACAUAAAAAAUACAAGAUAGAAAUAUUUGUAACAGGUAAAUAUAAAAAAAAAUAUAAAAUACACAUUUGUCAUUGUUACAUAGCAAAAUAAUACGCAAAUAUUUUUUAUUUUAUUAAUGCGAAAUAAAAACAAAAAAUUAAAUUCAAAUUCAAAAAAACAGUCUCCUCCAAUAUGUAGAUUUUGAUAGUGGUUUUGCAACAUGACUCCUCCAUAGCAGGAGUUGUAGAGACUCUCAGCACCACCUCUCACUCUAUUGAGGUUGUUGUGCACCUAGAUCAUCGUCGAUGGUCUUUGCCGUCCUUGGUGAUUUCCAUUGAUUUGUAUCUUAACCCCUUAGGAUCCGUUGUCUGUUGUCCACUAUUCAGAAGGAACUCCGUGCCAGAAUGGAUAAACAAGACACUGUCAACGACAACAUUCAGAACAUGCUAGCUCAAUUGCUUCAGAGAAUGCCUCCGCCUCCCAACCCCUAGGCACUUAGGAUUUUGUUUUUAGCCUGUUGUUUUGGCUUGUUCUGAUGACUUGUUCUUUUUGUCCUUGUCUCUGUUGCUUUUACUGAAUACAAUGUUUUUUUCUUGAAUUAUUCUUUUCUGCUAUGUCUUUUGAUUCUGACAAAAAGGGGAGAAGUCAUUAAAUGCUCUGACGAAAUUCUGUUCUAAAUACUUAGCACUUGCAACUAUUUUCUUAAAAUAAAUUUAUCUACACUAGACUUAAGAAAUUGCAGAGGGGCAACAUUAGCUGGGUGGUAAGUUUGGUAUCAAGACCUCAUUCCGCUUGGAAGCUUGGUAAAACUUUUGACUCCCGUAGCCUAUUCUCAGGGGAGGUCUUGUCUAUCUGAUCUGAUAUUGUUUAUGUUUCAUCUGCUAAUUAAGUUUGUUUUGUCAUUUUCAGAAGGGGGGAUUGUAGAACAAAUUGGUGAUCGGUACAGCAGAUUCGGCUCUNNNNNNNNNNNNNNNNNNNNNNNNNNNNNNNNNNNNNNNNNNNNNNNNNNNNNNNNNNNNNNNNNNNNNNNNNNNNNNNNNNNNNNNNNNNNNNNNNNNNNNNNNNNNNNNNNNNNNNNNNNNNNNNNNNNNNNNNNNNNNNNNNNNNNNNNNNNNNNNNNNNNNNNNNNNNNNNNNNNNNNNNNNNNNNNNNNNNNNNNNNNNNNNNNNNNNNNNNNNNNNNNNNNNNNNNNNNNUGCUAUGUCUUUUUGAUUCUGACAAAAAGGGGGAGAAGUCAUUAAUAGCUCUGAUGAAAAUACUGUCUAAAUACCUUAAGCACUCUGCAACAUAUUUUUCUUAAAAAUAAAUUUAUCUAACACUAGACUUAAGAAAUUGCAGAAGGUAUCAAGAAACCUCAUUGCUUGGAAGCUCUGGUAAGAACUUCUGAACUCCCUAGCCUAUCUCAGGGGGAGCUCUUGUCUAUCUGAUCUGAUAUUGUUUAUGUUUCAUCUGCUAAUUAAGUUUGUUUUGUCAUCAUCAAAAAGGGGGAGAUUGUAAGAACAAAAAUUGUUCUACAACAGAUUCCAUGAUUUUGAUGAUAACAAAGGAUGAAACCAAAAAUGGCACCCUAACGAAAAGUUUCUAAGUGUGCAGGAUUCUAAGGAAAGAAGGAAGAGAUCUGAUGACGUCAUCAGAUACAGAAUCAUAUCAGAUACAAAUUAUCAGAAGACCAAAAGCAUCUGAAGUAUAAACACGCUCAAGAAAGUCUAACUCUGAGCAAAAACAACAAAAUAUCAGAAGCAUCUGAACAAGAAGUACGCUCUAGAAGUUCUGACUCUGAACAACGGUAUGUCAAACUCCAGAAGCUAUCAGCGCUAUCUGAAGAAACCAUCAGAACUUAAAAGAGAUCAACAUCAGAAGUUAGAUAGCAAGAUUCCAAGAUUCCCAGAAACACGAAGACUCAGAUCUUGGAUUUCCUAAUAAGGAAAGAGUAACGUUAACUUCAAAUAAAGGCUUGGAAAUGGAUUUCCUAAUACAGAAAGAGACGUUAAACUCCAAAUUCAAAUGAAAAGGAACUAUUUUUGGAAAGUAGUCAUUCGAGGAGAGAAAGUUGUCUUGGCAAGAAGCUAUAUAAGUUAUGGCAUUAAUUUAAAUUAUUGGCCAUCACCUUCAACGACUACUUCACUCCUAUAUAUAAAGGACUGCAAAUCAACAUCAAACACAAGAAUUUACUGAAACAUCAACACACAUAAACACAUUUUAUUCUCUCAAUCUUCACGAAGCUUUUGCUUAGAACGUGAAACACUUUGUUCUUGCUGUUGUAAUAUUUGCUUAUCUUAGAAGCACUCUAGAUUACAUAAGUCUUUAUCCUUGUUUUUUUCCUCAAGUGACUCUGCGCAGUCUGUAUACUUGAGAGGACUAAGAGAUCUUCUCUUAGACGUCGUUUGUAAUCAAUCUUUCAAGAUUAGUGGAUUAAGUCCUUGUUGAAGGCGAAAUCACCUUGGCCGGGUGGACUGGAGUAGCUUUGUGUUAUAAGCGAACCAGUAUAAAUUCCUUGUGUGAUUUUCAUUUUUGAAAAAGCGCUUAUUUUCAAAACAAUUCAAACCCCCCUUUCUUGUUUUUCUCACCUUCAAAGGUUUGAUUUGAUUUUGUAUCAGACAAUUUUGCUUGAAAGAGUUAUAUGGCUUUCACAAUUUGGUUGUGUUUCAGGUUAUUUUAUGGACAUCUCAUGUUGUUCAUAUUUUGCAACAAUAUGUUAUUGAUGAGAUGAUUUAAUUAUGUUUUUGUGGUCGGUUCAUUUGCCAAUUGUUGUGAAAUAUAAAGCUGAAAGUGAUACUUUAUUAAACCAAAGACAAUGACCUUAUAUAGCCUUACAGGAGAAAUAAAGAAAUAACAGAAGCAAACUAGAAACUAGGAAACAGACUCCAUUACGUAAUUAUAGAUGACUUAUUCAACUAAGACAAAUUCAAACUACAACAUACCCUCCCUUAAGCUUAACUCUCAUGAAUUAAGCUUAAUUCAGACAAGUUAACAAUUUCAAGUAAUGCUCUCAGCUUCUCAAACUGCUCCAGCUUCAACGACUUCGUAAAAAUAUCCGCAACUUGGUUUUUUGCUGCACAAUACUCCAGCUUAACAGUUUCCCCAUUCACCAGCUCUCUAAGAUAAUGAAACCUUACUUCGAUAUGCUUACUUUUCCCAUGAAGGACUGGAUGUUUGGACAAAGCAAUCGUCUAACUUGUAAGACCCAAAUUUUGACCCUAAGAUCCCUCAUGGCAUCAUAUCAUUGCACAUUGCAUUUGCCUCAAGGAUCAUAGCAUCUUGACUCCUUAACCUUUGGGUAGGACUUGUGUGAGUUGGUCUGAGACCACCAAGAAUGCUUGAAUAGUAUAUUAUUGCUUUUAUCAUUUUGUUUACUAACCAAAAUCACAAAAAAUAUGUCACUAACUUUGUUUGUUUUGUAGCUUGAGCAAUCAUAAGAUCCAAGGCUCCUAGGAGACCCUUACUCAUUAGAAUGGCCAAAUGAAGUUGAAAGAAAGCAUGACAAUGGUUCACAAGGCUCUCAAUCAUCAUAUAUUCCUCCCAAGUAUCUCAGUUUGUCAAUUUGAUCAAGAUAAACCAAAGGACUUGAGGCCUGUUUCCCAAGGAAACCCUAAUUCAUCUGUGCAUUGAUUGUGCCUUGCUCAUGAAGUAACCUCAAUCCAUGAUCAAAUAUAAUCAAGGGAAUUUCUUUCAUUCAUCAUUUCAUGAAUAUUUGAGCUUAUUUGAGUGUCCUCAAUCAUCAAUUCAUCAAGAUUUGAAGUUUGGACUUGAGAAGUUGAUCAGUCAAUUCAUCUAACUAUUUUAAAAUCCACUGAGACCUAACUUUUGAUGUGUUUGUCAAAUGAAGAUGACCCCAAGAGAAAAAAUGUUCUUAAGAACCAUAUGAACAACUUUCAUGUUCAUCAAAAAUUUAUUUGAAUCUUGUAAGGUCAUCAUCCAUUUCAAAACAUUAUAGGUCAUUUUGACUGAAACCCUAAUUUUGGGUCAACUUCCCAAGGACCUAACUCACUCAUUUUUCAUGAUUUUGAGGUGGGAUCAAAUGAAUUGGAAAGACAUCAUCCAUUUCAAAACAUUAUAGGUCAUUUUGACUGAAACCCUAAUUUUGGGUCAACUUCCCAAGGACCUAACUCACUCAUUUUUCAUGAUUUUGAGGUGGGAUCAAAUGAAUUGGAAAGUUUAACAUGUCUACUUCAUUUUUUAUGUUGAAAAAAUGUUCAUAAUCCUAAAAGAAGUACAUGUGAUAAUGCAAAACAUUAUAGGUCACUUUGGACCAAAGUCAUUGAAAUGUGAAAAAGUCCAACUUCAAGUGCCCAUAACUUUCUCAUCAAAAAUCCAAAUGAUGCAAAAUUUGAGUACAAAUUGAUUUUAUUGAAAAGAUAUACAACUUUGAUGUUGAAGGUUUUGUCAUUUGAGGCUUGCAUCAUUGAAACAGAAGGGCUUGAAGUUGGUCCAUUUUGGCAAAAUUCUCAUACACAUAUUUUGUACAUGGAACUUCAUGAUCAGUUUUCAUUAAUUUCCCAACUCCAAAUGGAUUUUUGUUCAACAUAAAAAUUGUUCCUCAUGUCAAGGCCUUUCCAACCAUUACCCACAUGACCAUGAUUCAUUUUGGUAAGGUGCAUUUUCGAAGAGAUGAAAGUUUAUGUUCAUUUAUGGAAACAAUGUUAAAAAUCCAUGCACAAGCCAAUUCAAUCACACUUGUACGUCCAAUUCAUCUCAAUUACAUAUGAACACUCAAUUGCCAUUGCAUUUGGGCCUCCCAUGCGCCUGUACAGGCCCAUACAUAGAGGCCCUCACUUCAUGCACACAUGAAUUUCACCUUGCUUGCAUCACCUUGUGCUAUAAAUAGAGAUGCUCAGCUUCACUCCAAAUCAACCUUAAGGCGCCUUACAUGCUGCAGAACUGAAUCCCCACCUCACUCAAAGGAAUUUUUUGCAUUUCACUUCAAUUUUUCAGUCUCAAUUUUCAACUUCCUUGGUUGAUUAUUGAGCUCUAAUUCCUUAGCCUCACUUCCUUUCCAUCUCAAGAACACACUGCUAUCAAGAAUUGGGAGAGAUCGUGAUUCAUAGAGAUGCACUUCAAAGGUUGUUGUUCAAACUUUUUCAAUUCGAAUCUCACUGGAUCUUGUUAUUUCUUGUGUUUGUUGGCUCCUCUGAAGUCCUUCAUAAGAGGCAAUUGAAUAUUUAAUUUCACGAAUCCAUCAAGUUCAGAUUGAACACCAUAAUUUUCUCUCUCAGAUUUCUCCUUCUAUGAGAGUCUAGAGGAGAAACCAAUGGCACAGGGGUGAUGUACAUCACCCCAGCUUUCUAAUGAUAUGAGGAUCGUCCAUUUUGGUUGAGAUUUCAUGACCUGCAACUUCCACCGGAGCUAGCAUGCUUGCCGGAGAAGACGGUGGUGUACACCACCGUCCCCGUUGCCAGAUUUAAUCUAGGCCAUUUGAUUG